rnacentral:rRNA from 1 species
AUACAGAGGGUGCAAGCGUUAAUCGGAAUUACUGGGCGUAAAGGGCGCGUAGGUGGAAGUUUAAGUCAGAGGUGAAAGGCCUGGGCUUAACCUAGGAAUUGCCUCUGAUACUGGACAUCUUGAGUACAGUAGAGGAAAGUGGAAUUUCCGGUGUAGCGGUGAAAUGCGUAGAUAUCGGAAGGAACACCAGUGGCGAAGGCGACUUUCUGGACUGUAACUGACACUGAGGCGCGAAAGCGUGGGGAGCAAACAGGAUUAGAUACCCCGGUAGUCC